rnacentral:rRNA from 1 species
CAGUCGCCGCGGUAAUACGGAGGGAGCUAGCGUUAUUCGGAAUUACUGGGCGUAAAGCGCACGUAGGCGGCUUUGUAAGUAAGAGGUGAAAGCCCGGAGCUCAACUCCGGAACUGCCUUUUAGACUGCAUCGCUUGAAUCCAGGAGAGGUGAGUGGAAUUCCGAGUGUAGAGGUGAAAUUCGUAGAUAUUCGGAAGAACACCAGUGGCGAAGGCGGCUCACUGGACUGGUAUUGACGCUGAGGUGCGAAAGCGUGGGGAGCAAACAGGAUUAGAGACCCCCGUAGUCCCUGUCUCUUAACA